GGCUAGUAAGCGCUAGGCUAAAGUGUGGCGUCCGAAGGGAUCAGCAGCCUAACAGAAGUUAGGAAACUCACUCUAGGGACUAGCCUCCUC
rnacentral:ncRNA from 12 species